GGAGCCCGACUUCCGGAGCUCUGCCCCUUCCUCUGGAUUUCCCGCUCCCAAGCCCCGCGCUUUCCAGCCUCCCGGCGCGCGACCGUCGCGGAAAUUGAUACACUGUAUUUGAAAGUAGCAUGCAUGGGGCAUGCCUCAAAACCAACAACUACCACCAGCAAAAGUGGAAUUUGGGAAGGAAAGUGAUGUCCCCAUCAUAACCUUUACUGUGGAGUGAGAUGAAAAGAAGGUUCCCGUCCUGCUUGCUGCCUGAUUUUAGGAUAUAUGUAAAAUUUUGUAUUAAAAUAUUCUUAAGAGGAUACAGCCGGGCGCUGGUGGCUCUCGCCUGUAAUCCUAGCU